UGUGAGGAGAUAUUUCUUAUGGUCUCAGGUGGGCUUCAGACACUGAACUAACAGGUAGGAUACCUGACUUCAUUGGGAAUUGGUCAAAGCUUACUACCCUGAAGCUUGAAGGAAACUCUUUAGAAGGUCCAAUACCCUUAGCGUUUUCCAAUUUGACUUCUUUGACAGAGUUGAGAAUAAGUGAUUUGUCUAAUGGGAGCUCUUCACUGGCUUUUAUAAAGAAUAUGAAAUCUCUAAGUACCUUGGAUUUGAGCUUCAACAAUAUAACAGGACAGAUUCCAAGAG